CAGAAGCAGACCGUGGAGAGCCCAGCUCAGGCUUCCUCUGGAGUCCUGCUGUUCUAGCUCCCCCAGGCGAUUCUAAUGUGUGGCCAAGUCUGAGGAUCCUUGAUCUGAACCCAACCGAGAAGGAGCCCGUCUGCCCAGCCAGCCUUUGAUCGGCAGCAGAACUUCACUGUGUCAGUCGGGGACGGUUACCUGGAGCCACCCGUGGAGAAGUGAGGAUUUUCCUGGAGGUUCAAAGAUGCAGAAAUGAUUUCUGGAGUGCGGGAUGGUGAACGAAAUCCAUUGUAAAUCCGUAAAGAAUUUUC